rnacentral:misc_RNA from 1 species
GAUGAAGAACGCAGCGAAAUGCGAUAAGUAAUGUGCAUUGCAGAAUUCAGCGAAUCAUCGAAUCUUCGAACGCACAUUGCGCCCAUUAGUAUUCUAGUGGGCAUGCCUGUUCGAGCGUCAUUAAGUCCACUUAAGCCCUGCUUAGUGUUGGGAGACUGCUCCAGCGGUGCUACCCUGUAGCUACCCUGCAGCUCCUCAAAGACAGCGGCGGAGUUGUGGUAUCCUCUGAGCUUAGUAACUUGUUCUAGCUUUCGAGUACACCACUUCCCCUGCCGUAAAACCCUUAAUUUUUAAUGGUUGACCUCGGAUCAGGUAGGAAUACCCGCUGAACUUAAGCAUAUCAAUAAGCGGAGGA